UACGUAGGGCGCGAGCGUUGUCCGGAAUUAUUGGGCGUAAAGAGCUCGUAGGUGGUUCGGUAGGUCGGAUGUGAAAUCUCCAGGCUCAACCUGGAGGGGUCAUUCGAUACUGCCGUGACUAGAGUUCGGUAGAGGAGUGUGGAAUUCCUGGUGGAGCGGUGAAAUGCGCAGAGAUCAGGAGGAACACCCGUAGCGAAGGCGGCACUCUGGGCCGAUACUGACACUGAGGAGCGAAAGCGUGGGGAGCGAACAGG
rnacentral:rRNA from 1 species